UACAGAGGUCUCAAGCGUUGUUCGGAUUCAUUGGGCGUAAAGGGGUGCGUAGGUGGCGUGGUAAGUCGGAUGUGAAAUCCCCAGGCUUAACCUGGGAACUGCAUCCGAUACUGGAUGGCUUGAAUCCGGGAGAGGGAUGCGGAAUUCCAGGUGGUAGCGGUGAAAUGCGUAGAUAUCUGGAGGAACACCGGUGGCGAAGGCGGCAUCCCUGGACCG
rnacentral:rRNA from 1 species